UGCUGGGUGGAUUAGUGGCGAACGGGUGAGUAACACGUGGGUGAUCUGCCCUGCACUCUGGGAUAAGCCUGGGAAACUGGGUCUAAUACCGGAUAUGACCUCGGGAUGCAUGUUCUGGGGUGGAAAGUUUUUCGGUGCAGGAUGAGCCCGCGGCCUAUCAGCUUGUUGGUGGGGUAAUGGCCUACCAAGGCGACGACGGGUAGCCGGCCUGAGAGGGCGACCGGCCACACUGGGACUGAGACACGGCCCAGACUCCUACGGGAGGCAGCAGUGGGGAAUAUUGCACAAUGGGCGCAAGCCUGAUGCAGCGACGCCGCGUGAGGGAUGACGGCCUUCGGGUUGUAAACCUCUUUCACCCAUGACGAAGCGCAAGUGACGGUAGUGGGAGAAGAAGCACCGGCCAACUACGUGCCAGCAGCCGCGGUAAUACGUAGGGUGCGAGCGUUGUCCGGAAUUACUGGGCGUAAAGAGCUCGUAGGCGGUUUGUCGCGUCGUCUGUG
rnacentral:rRNA from 1 species